rnacentral:tRNA from 1 species
GCCCGUGUGGCUCAGUGGUUAGAGCAUGGGCCCAUGCACUGAAGGGUCUCGGGUUGGAUUCCUGGUCAAGGGCA